AGUGAACGCUGGCGGCAGGCCUAACACAUGCAAGUCGAACGGCAGCACGGCAGUAGCAAUACUGUGGGUGGCGAGUGGCGGACGGGUGAGGAAUACAUCGGGAUCUACCCUGUUGUGGGGGAUAACGUAGGGAAACUUACGCUAAUACCGCAUAAGAACUGAGGUUGAAAGCGGCGGACCGCAAGGCGUCGCGCGAUUGGAUGAACCGAUGUCCGAUUAGCUAGUUGGCGGGGUAAAGGCCCACCAAGGCGACGAUCGGUAGCUGGUCUGAGAGGACGACCAGCCACACUGGAACUGAGACACGGUCCAGACUCCUACGGGAGGCAGCAGUGGGGAAUAUUGGACAAUGGACGGAAGUCUGAUCCAGCCAUCCCGCGUGGAGGAAUAAGGCCCUAUGGGUUGUAAACUCCUUUAGCAGGGGAAUAAAAAGGUCAUUUAUGAUCAAUUGAAGGUACCCUGAGAAUAAGCACCGGCUAACUCCGUGCCAGCAGCCGCGGUAAU
rnacentral:rRNA from 1 species